CUCCAAGUAAGUAAUACUCUCCUGUUAAGAAUCUACAACUCUGGAGUUUGCAAAAAUUUUUCCGUAGAUCCAGAUUUGUAAUAGGAUAACAUGAUAGUACUAGAGGUGGCACGAGCACACGUGCCACCUUCAGGUAAGUAAUACUCUCCUGUUACUAAUUUACAUUUCUGGAGUUUGCAAACAUUUUCCCGUAGAUCCAGAUUUGUAAUAGGAUAACAUGAUAGUACUAGAGGUGGCACGAGCACACGUGCCACCUUCAGGUAAGUUAUACUCUCCUGUUACUAAUUUACAUUUCUGGAGUUUGCAAACAUUUUCCCGUAGCUCCAGAUUUGUAAUAGGAUAACAUGAUAGUACUAGAGGUGGCACG